rnacentral:lncRNA from 1 species
GAAUACCAGUCUCCUGGCGGCGGCUGGCACAGCGGAGCUGCUCUCCAAGCAGCGGGGUUCCCAGGCUGGGAAGUUUGCAUUGCCGUUUCUUUGCGGGCGGGCGGCGAGCGCCGACUGCAUGCCACCUGCGAGAGGAAGAGGCCGGUGAAGUCUCACUCUGUUGCCCAGGCUGGAGUGCAGUGGCACGAUCUCGGCUCGCUGCAACCUCCACCUCCCAGGUUCAAGCGAUCCUUCUGUUUCAGCCUCUCCAGUGGCUGGUAUUACAGGAACACACCACCAUGCCUGGCUAAUGCUUCUCUUUCUAUAAAUGAAGACGUGAGGCCGUGUAAGCUCCAAGAGAGCAGGGAUCUUGUUUGUCUUGGUCACCGUGAUAUUUCAGCUGCUGACCCAGUGCUUGAAGCAUACAAUCUGGAGUCUCCACAACUUUCUUCAUGGAACCACCACCAGGCCCCUUCUGUAGGCUUCUUAUGGAGGCUGAAGGUGUCUACAUGGCAGCAUAAAAUAGUAAUUAAGGACUCUGGAGUCACUGCCCAGGCUCAAAUCCCUGCUGCAAAUUGCGAGGUCUUUGAUCAAUGAAGAGAAGUGUCCUUAGGUCCGGCUGCUGGUGUGAAGUAUGCUCUGGAGGUCUGACAUCCACUCUCCCUCAGACUUUCUAAUACGGCAGGAAUUCCGUCCAUGAACUUUAUAAUAAACUGGAGCUAAAUCUGUCAGAAAAUGGAAGAAAUCUGGAUAGCAUUUCAGGAGCACUGGCAAAUGCCUACUCCUUACUUCCUAAUCCCAAACUGUCACACUGUGGCUGCACAUGUGCCCAAGCCCUUGUAUACUCAAGCUAGAGUUGCCAGAUGAAAUGGAGGACAUGGCUGGGUGCGGUGGCUCAGCUCGGAGCAGUGGCUCACGCCUGUAAUCCCAGCACUUUGGGAGGCCGAGGUGGGCUGAUGGCCUGAGGUCAGGAGUUCAAAACCAGCGUGGCCAACAAGAUGUGCCAGUUCUGGUAAAUUUCCUAGCAAGCUUGAAGGAAGUGAAGGACAACUGCAAGGAAGGGCAGGAUGGAGCAUGCAGCCCACGUAUUCCCCAGCUUGGUGGGGCAGAAUGCGUUCUUGGCUCCUGAGGAAUGGGCAGGCAACGCACAGGGGUCCUGGGAAGAAAGGGAGAGAAUAUCCUGGGAGAGCCAUAGACCCUGGCACCCUCCUGUGGUCCUUCAUCAGGAUAAAUUUCUAAAAGAAGAAUUACUGGCCAAAGGAUUCCUCUUCAGUUGGAAACAGCAGCAAAGUUCACAGGUCGUGAGUGGAUGUAAAGUGGACGGAACAGGUUGUUGCCAGUCUAUUGGAGUAGGAUGGUAGAUGAGCAGUCCCGUUGGCUAACAGGUGUGGGUAUGCCUGUUUUAAAAAUUAGCAUGUUGUAGGGGAAUAUUUCUCAAACUUUUGUCACGUAUCUACCUCUUAGGCAUUUUUUACUUUAUUCACCUGUACUACUAUUUAAUAUUUUUAAAAUUCAACUGAUUUUUUUUUUUGCUUAAAUACAUGUCUUUAAAACUGGAACUUUAUUCGCCACUGUAAAUGGAAAACCAGUGUCAUUUGCCAUAUAUAGAAGUGAACUAUAUAGUAAAUACGGUGAAAGUGAAAUGGUAUCAUCACACUUGUGCUAGAUUCCAUUUCCUAUAGAAGGUUCUGGGUUUCUUAAAAGGCUUGUUAAAAAGAGAGAUGAGUAAAUGUGAGAGGAAUUUAAGACAUACUAGCACCAUUAAGACUUUCUCCUUAAAGUAAUCUGGAGGAUUUAAAUUGAGAAUUGAAAAAAGUAACUUUAUUUUACAUAAGAAAUUAUGUAAAAGAAUUAUGUUAUUUAAUGCCACAUCCAUACGUCAUCAAGAGUCAACUUGGUGACCACUAGUGGCCCAUGUCCCACACUUUGAGAAACGUGUGUUGGGGUGGGAAUCUGAAGUCAGAAAAACUGGAGUAUGAUAACCACCUCAGCACUUAUUAGAGGCCUUCACUUGGGAAUGAUGACCCUUCCUUGUAGGGUUGUAGUGAGAAUGACAGAUAAUAUAUGAAAAGAUAAAACAUGGUGCCAGAGGCAUUAGCAGGUGCUGCGAAGGGGCUGUUGUAUUUCUUGUUAUACUGGAGUGGUUCUCCACCCUGGAUGCAUAUUAGAAUCAUCUGAAGGGCUUUUUAAAAAUACAGAUAUCAUGACCUCACCCCUGGAGAUCCUAAUUUAAUUGGUCAGGGGUAGGGUUCUGGCAUUGUUACUUGUUUAAAACAAAGUUCCUCCUCCUUCCCAGUGAUUUUAAUUUGUAGCCAGUGUUGGAAAAACCAUGGACUUAACCCUUUCCUAAGAGCUUAGAUCAAUUCUGCAGAUUAGCUAUCUGCCAUUUUGAAAAGGUGGCAUAAGCUCAGGGAAGUAUUCACUGGACAAAAGGAAUUCUGGAUGGCGGAAGCUCUAGGCACCAUCAGGCACUUGCUUUGUGCUGGAAGCUGCAUCAAAUGGCUUGAGCCCAAAGUAGACAUAAGGGCUCCUUAUUUCCCUGGACACUGGGAAAAUCAUUUCUCUUAUUCCAAGAGAACAAUUUUGCUGACCAUGGAAAUACUAUCUCUGGUUUCCAGAGGUACAGUGCUGUUCAGUGCUCUUCUGGAGGUUGUAGUAUGAAGAAAUGACAAAGCCAAAAAGGCAUUCUGACCUAGGGAGACUAUCUUUAAAGCAAAAUAUAAAUGUAGGGCAAAAACUCUGCGGUCUCAGGAGGAUUGGAUCCAGGGGAAAAUGUUUAAAAGGCAAACGUUUAGAAUCAAUUAUACAGCUUCAGCAAUGGUUUGCUAUUGUCUUGCUGUCUUUUUGUUUUGCUUUGUGUAGUGUUCAGAAUAUCUGCAUCAUGUAGCAUCUUUCUAUUUUUAGGAGUCUUUAAACUCCUUUAUUCUGAGGCCCCAGAAUAUUCUCAUCCACCACGUACUUUCACGUGGAGAUGACUGACUUCAUCUUUGACAAUGGCAGUUCCCUAACCUUGAUCCAGCACGGGAGCAGGAAUUAUGGCGAAAAUGGCCACCCAAACUGCACCCAGUGGGAAAACAGCAUUAACUCAGCUUUUAAAAAAGUGUCAACUUGGAAAAUCCAAGACCUAGAUCUGAUGCUUAGGGACCCACAAUGCCAGGCAGCAGUCUGGGAGAUGUCACUUCUGGAGCUUCUAAUGAGAUGCAAAUCACCUAGUGAACUACUGGGGAGCUGGGAAACAAUGUCCUGGGUAAAAGCAGAUAAAAAUGGAAUGAAAGAAUUUCUUUGAAGAUUGGAACGACAUUUUAAGUGCUUGCGGAUAUGGGACACCAGAUAGUGUUGGUUUUACUAAGCUAAUUGUGACGGGGUCUUUGAUUCCCUGCAGCAGGGGACCCUGGGGCACUCGUCUCCAGCUCUGCCUCACUCUUUGAGGAGCUAGUUCCAGUUCUACUGUGAGUGUGCAAGGGGCUGGUCAGCUGUAGCAAAACCAGCACUGGACAUGGGGGAUCAGAAGACCCCGGCACACAUAGUUCAAGUUGUGACACAUAUUGGUAUGUGACCUUAAGUGAAUCCCUUACCCCUCUGCUGCCAUGUUUUAUGUGUAAAAUGAUAAAGAGAGGGGUGGACUGAGGUAGUAAUUUUUAAUGGAGAACAUUGGUGUGGCAAAUUACACAUGUUCUGGCCUGAAGAUUCUGAGCUGCUCUCCUUGGAGUCACAUUCUUUCCCAGUGUGUGAACAUCUGUGUGCAGUGAGAGACAUGCCUGAUGGGGAUCUGUUGCCUGAAGCCAGUGUGAAGGCAGGAAAAGGCUUGUUGGAAUUUAAAUACGACCAAUCAAAAUGUGUUUAGGCUUCAAAGGAAAAAGUUCUCCAUAAAUACACCAGAAUUUCAUUCUAACAUGAUUCAUUCAUUCAAAGAGCACAGCUGCACAAGGGGAAGACAGCUGCCACAUGGUAACGCAGUCCUGUAAAGAGUCCCAUGUGGUGAGAGACGUGGUUGGGAGUGAGCUUGGAAGUGGAUCCCCAACCCUCGUCCCCAAACUGAGACUUCACAUGAGACUGCAGCUCUGGCCAACAGCUUCACUGUAACCUCACAACAGACCUUGAGCCACAAGCACCCAGCUAAGCUGCAGGGAGACCCCCUGAAACUAUUGCUACGGAAUAAAAGAUGAAAUGCUCCUGAUUAUUGUAAAUACAAAGUUGCAUGCAGGAUUGUGUAAAGACAAUGCCAGGUUGGACUGCCAGAAUGAGCCAACUGCACGUGAUGUGAUUCCCCCUGCAGAGAGCCUAUGAAUGGACGUGCAGUCAGGGAGGUUUCACAUCACCAAGAUUCCUAUCCUAGAAAGGCAGAUGUUCAUAGCUCUAGGAAUGGAAUGCGACCCUUGUGGAGAGCCUAUAAACGGAUGCAUGGGGGUGGGGCGCCUGUCCAUAUGGAUAAGAUAGGGCUAGAAACGCCCUCAUCUUGCCACAGCUCUUCUAGGCCUCUUUAGGGUUAAGGCAUACUCCCUUCUGAGAAUUUCUGGUCUAACUGGUUGUCUAGCUUCACAUCCUGUUUCCGUGGAUUGUUUGUAACCAGCUUUUGUUGCAAUUGUUACUGCUGAUUAAUAUCUUGCUAAUCAUAGGUUAUGGAAAGAUUGUGCUUCUGUUUUAAGGCUCUGUUAGAAAUUACUGACGCACACACUAUAUUGUAAAUUCUUAUCUCUCUAUGCUGUACUUCUACAUACAAAUGUACUGUACUUCUACAUACAAAUGUACUGUACUUCUACAUACAAAUGUUAUGUUAAUUACUUCAUCCCCAUGUGACCAUCUCACCUCAUAAUCAAAUGACCCUAAAUCCCUCACUAACCAACCCCCACCCUCACUUAACUUAAUAAUAAACGCUGGUAUAUCCAGAGCAUUGUUGGCACCAUGGGACCAGAAGGCGGUGACCCCCCUGGACCCAGCUUUCACUAUCUUGUGUGUGUCUAUUAUUUCCCAACCUGCUGAUCUGCCUGGGAACAAAGAGAGAGCCCCAUUGCAUUGUGGGCUGCUGACCAGAUCCUGAAGAUGCAUGCAACAACGAGACAGAGAAAUUUGCUGAAAAAGCACCACAGCAGGAAACAACUAACACAUCCAAUCAUCAAAAAGAAGAAAAGACCACGCUAACUCCUUUACAACAGACAAUCCAGACAGCCAUCCUGAACAACUUGUCUCCAGCGAUCCAGGUCUGGCUCAACCUCUGCCUCCUCCUGAUGACACUGAUCCUUCUACCUCUGUUACGCCACAGACUGUUAAAAACUAUACAUAUUGGGCCUAUAUUCCUUUUCCUCCUCUUAUUCGAGCCGUGACAUGGAUGGAUGCUCCUAUCGAGGUCUAUGUUAAUGAUAGUAUUUGGAUGCCUGGUUCUCUAGAUGAUCGUUGUCCUGCACAACCUUCAGAAGAAGGAACCCCUUUCAAUAUCACUUUAGGUUUUAGGUAUCCACCUUUCUGCCUGGGACCCACUAAUGUAUGUCUCUCAUUAGAUAUUCAAACUUGGGCUGUCACACUACCGUCUGGUCACUCUGUCCCUCCUUUAGGACACUUGAUAUCAGGGCUCUCAUUAAAACCUCUAAGGCAGAUCAAAACAGUAAUCACUGAUUAUAUUCACACAUCCCAAUAUAAGCCUUUAGACCUGUGUGUCCUCUCAACUUGUCUUCAAAUGCUGACAAAAUUAAUAUGGAAAGACUGUGUUAGCUCAGAAGGAACCGUGUUAUUUAAUUCUUCUCACUACACCAUUGUUGAUUGGGCUCCUAAAGGUCAUAUUACUAAUGAUUGCUCUCAAGGUCACAGAGAUUGUCAACAUUUUCUCUAUAAUAUUACUUAUCAAAAACGUAGUGACAGCCCUCCCCUAUUAUAUCGUAGAUUUAACUCCUUUUUUCCUCUUAAGUGGAAAGGGGCAGGGGUUGCGCCUCCAAAGCCAAGGCUCAUUGUUCCCCACAUAGGACCUGAACAUUCCAAAUUAUGGAGAUUAACAAUAGCUAUGACUGGUAUGAGAGUUUGGGCUGGAGAAAGUGUUAUAAGUAAAUCCACUUUGUCACCUCAAAAUGUAUAUACUCUCUAUAUGGAGUCCAACAAAACUAUACCACUUAAAAGUUGUGUUAAACCACCAUAUAUGUUAUUAGCAGGAAAGUUGCAUAUUAGUUCAAAAACCAACAUAAUUACCUGUGUUAAUUGUUACUUGUAUACUUGUAUUGACUCAUCCUUUAAUCAAUAUCAUAGUAUUUUAAUAGUCAGAGCCAGACAAGAUAUUUGGCUCCCUGUAGCCUUACAUAGGCCUUGGGAAUCUUCCCCCUUUAUCCAUGUUAUUAACAAUAUUCUAUAGAAAAUUCUUAAAAGGAGUAAACAAUUUAUUUUUACAUUAAUUGCAAUAAUAAUGGGCUUGAUUGCUGUUACUGUGAUUGCUGCUACUGCUGGAGUUGCAUUACGUCCAUCUAUUCAAACUGUUCAUUUUGUGGAUAAAUGGCAAAAAAAUUCUACUCGGAUGUGGAAUUCUCAGGUAUUGAUCAAAAAUUGGCUAAUCAAAUUAAUGAUCUAAGACAAACUGUUAUAUGGAUGGGAGGUAGAAUUAUGAGUUUAGAACAUAGAUUACAAAUGCAAUGUGAUUGGAAUACUUCUGAUUUUUGUAUAACUCCAUUUCAAUAUAAUGAGUCUGUUCACAAUUGGGAAUCAGUAAAAUGCCAUUUACAAGGAAGUGAAGAUAAUUUAAAGCUUUAGACAUAAGCAAACUAAAAGAACAGAUUUUUGAGGCCUCUCAAGCACACUUAACUGCUUUACCCGGUGCUGAAGUUUUAGACGGUAUCUCUGAGGGAUUAUCUAAUCUCAACCCCAUUCAAUAGGUAAAAUCUUUGGGAGGAUCCACUAUCGUUAAUUUUGUUCUGUGUAUAAUUUGUACUAUUGGUUUAUUGUUCAUGUGUAAAAUUGGAAAAAAUAUUCUUCAGUCCAAUUGUGAUCAGUGCCAAGCUAUGAUUGCUAUGGUUCAUUUAAAUCAGAGAGAAGGGGGAGAUGUAAGGAGACCCCCUGAAACUGUUGCUAUGGAAUAAAAGAUGAAAUGCUCCUGAUUAUUGUAAAUACAAAGUUGCAUGCAGGAUUGUGUAAAGACAAUGCCAGGUUGGACUGCCAGAAUGAGCCAACUGCACGUGAUGUGAUUCCCCCUGCAGAGAGCCUAUGAAUGGACGUGCAGUCAGGGAGGUUUCACAUCACCAAGAUUCCUAUCCUAGAAAGGCAGAUGUUCAUAGCUCUAGGAAUGGAAUGCGACCCUUGUGGAGAGCCUAUAAACGGAUGCAUGGGGAGGUGGCUGUCCGUAUGGAUAAGAUAGGGCUAUAAACGCCCUCAUCUUGCCACAGCUCUUCUAGGCCUCUUUAGGGUUAAGGCAUACUCCCUUCUGGGAAUUUCUGGUCUAACCGGUUGUCUAGCUUCACGUCCUGUUUCCAUGGAUUGUUUGUAACCAGCUUUUGUUGCAAUUGUUACUGCUGAUUAAUAUCUUGCUAAUCAUAGGUUAUGGAAAGAUUGUGUUUCUGUUUUAAGGCUCUGUUAGAAAUUACUGACACACACACUAUAUUGUAAAUUCUUAUCUCUCUAUACUGUACUUCUACAUACAAAUGUACUGUACUUCUACAUACAAAUGUUAUGUGAAAGAAUUACUUCAUCCCCAUGUGACCAUCUCACCUCAUAAUCAAAUGACCCUAAAUCCCUCACUAACCUACCCCCACCCUCACUAAACUUAAUAAUAAACGCUGGUAUAUCCAGUGCAUUGUUGGCACCAUGGGACC